GGCGGUUCUCAGGUGAUGCACCGCAGAAUCGAGCUCCCUCCUCUCUGGUUCCUGGUGUGUCACCUGAGAACUGCA
rfam:Myotis brandtii contig261871, whole genome shotgun sequence.